GUCUACGGCCAAACCACCCUGAACGCGCCCGAUCUCGUCUGAUCUCGGAAGCUAAGCAGGGUCGGGCCUGGUUAGUACUUGGAUGGGAGAUA
rnacentral:rRNA from 1 species